AAAGUUAGCCCACUACGCGUGAACCACACGCAAGGCGCUUUGUCGGCAAAGCAGAACAUAGUCAACUAUGAUAAAAAUGGCUCGUACACACUGGGAUUCAGCAACAAAAAUUAAAUGGCACGAGGUUGCACGCUAAGAUCAGUUUACCCAUAAAUAAGUAGUUCAUUUACCCAUAUUUGGGUUUUGUAUGCAUAACCUAUUUUAUGGGUAAAUUAUACCGAUAAAUAUAGGUAAUAUUUACUCAUAUUAUAAUCAAAGUGACUUUACCCAUAUAUGGGUAAGUUGUAUUUACCCAUAUUUGGAUGAAAAAAUAAACAUUAUUGAGCGGCAACACUCGCGUUUGGUACGAGUUUUUUUUUUGCGGACGAAGUUUUUUUAAGCUAAGUUUUUAUUGUUCAGUCCUGCUAAGUUUAAGUUGUGCUAAGAAUACACAGGCCAGGCAAUUGAGUUCUAGGAUUUCACCCGGUUCGACGGAACGGAACAACCUCCAGUCCGUCGGAACUUAAGCAUCCUCAUCUACAUCUGCUCCUCUGACUAGAACGUCCAGCCAAGCGUUCAGCGUCCAGCAAUCCGUCGCGACGAUAGCCAAGAAACUGUCGGCAACUCUCCGGCGAAUUCCAGCCGAAUUCAAGGCCGAAUUAAAAGUGAACCAUAUUCGAAAAAGUCCUGUGCGAAGGGAGGACCAUGCUAGAAACGAUCGCAUCAGUGAAACAGCAGCAUUUCCGUGUUCGAUUCCGAACGUCGAGGGAAUUAUCCGAUGCAGUUCGGUUCGAACCGACCUCUGUUGUCCGGCGUAACAAAAUCAUCCUGGUCUACAUCUCUUCCUUCGAUAAGAACGUCCAGCCAGGCGGAACAGUCGGUCGCAGCGACAGCCAAGGAAAACAGCAUUCCCGUUUCCGAUUGCGAACGUCGAGAGAAUUUCCCGAUGUAUUCCGGUACAGCGGAAUAACCAUCCGAAGCAGAAGCGCCUACGAAUAAGAUCCUACCCCGAUUCGUUCGACGGAACAACCUCCAGUCCAGCGGAACAAAAGCAUUCCCAUCGACAUCCCUUCCUCUGACUAGACGUCUAGCUAAGCGGAACAAUCUACCGCGACGAUAGCAAUGGAAGUAAGUAUUCAGCAAACACCUCCGGAAAUGGAGAAAUCCCUCUAAAUCUUUGCUUAAAAUGGGUAUCAAUACCUUAAAUAAACGAAAGACAAAAACA